rnacentral:rRNA from 1 species
GAGCUUGCUCCGCUGACGACCGGCGAACGGGUGCGUAACGCGUAUAGAAUCUACCUCUUACUAAGGGAUAGCCCAGAGAAAUUUGGAUUAAUAUCUUAUAGUAUGUUAACUUGGCAUCAAGAUAACAUUAAAGGUUACGGUAAGAGAUGACUAUGCGUCCUAUUAGCUAGAUGGUGUGGUAACGGCACACCAUGGCAACGAUAGGUAGGGGCCCUGAGAGGGGGAUCCCCCACACUGGUACUGAGACACGGACCAGACUCCUACGGGAGGCAGCAGUGAGGAAUAUUGGACAAUGGAGGCAACUCUGAUCCAGCCAUGCCGCGUGCAGGAAGACUGCCCUAUGGGUUGUAAACUGCUUUUAUACAGGAAGAAACACUCUCACGUGUGAGAGCUUGACGGUACUGUAAGAAUAAGGAUCGGCUAACUCCGUGCCAGCAGCCGCGGUAAUACGGAGGAUCCAAGCGUUAUCCGGAAUCAUUGGGUUUAAAGGGUCCGUAGGUGGAUAAUUAAGUCAGAGGUGAAAUCCUGCAGCUCAACUGUAGAAUUGCCUUUGAUACUGGUUGUCUUGAG